rnacentral:rRNA from 1 species
CGUUACGGCACACCGGCCUGAGUACGCCUGAUCUCGUCCGAUCUCGGAAGCUAAGCAGGGUCGGGCCUGGUUAGUACUUGGAUGGGAGACCGCCUGGGAAUACCAGGUGCUGUAAGCU